rnacentral:rRNA from 1 species
CCUACGGGUGGCAGCAGUGGGGAAUAUUGGGCAAUGGGCGCAAGCCUGACCCAGCAACGCCGCGUGAAGGAAGAAGGCUCUCGGGUUGUAAACUUCUUUUAUCAGGGACGAAGCAAGUGACGGUACCUGAUGAAUAAGCCACGGCUAACUACGUGCCAGCAGCCGCGGUAAUACGUAGGUGGCAAGCGUUAUCCGGAUUUACUGGGUGGAAAGGGCGUGUAGGCGGGAAAGCAAGUCAGAUGUGAAAACCAUGGGCUCAACCUGUGGCCUGCAUUUGAAACUGUUUUUCUUGAGUACUGGAGAGGCAGACGGAAUUCCUAGUGUAGCGGUGAAAUGCGUAGAUAUUAGGAGGAACACCAAUGGCGAAGGCAGUCUGCUAAACAGCAACUGACGCUGAGGCGCGAAAGCGUGGGGAGCAAACAGGAUUAGAUACCCCUGUAGUC